AGUCAAUGCUCGCAAGAGUGAACUAGCUAACUGAAAUCAUUAUGAGUCAUUAAUUUGGUGAUUAUGAUAACAUAAGGGAAAAAAAAUGAUAUUACCUUAUUAUUAGUGUUGUCCAAAACUGGUGCCAGAAGACUCGGUAAGACCAGAGACGCAAACGUUAGUCAUCUUAAUCAGGCGUAAAGGGUGUGUAGGCUGCUUUAAAAGUUUAAAUCUUUUUAAUAGCUCUUUUGCCGUUGUCCUGCCAUUAUUUAUUUUAUUUAUAAAAUAAUAAACAAUAAUGAAUAUAAAGGCAGUACAUUUUUAAUUUUAUUAAUAUUAAUUUAAUUUAAUAAUUAUAAAGGGGACAAAAAAGAUAUCCCGGUUUAAGUAAAAAGAAUAAAAUGAAUUAAAGCUAGAAUCAAAUUGAGGAUAAACCAAAUAAUACUUAGAGUAGGGCCGAUAUCCGCAGAUACUAAGGGGAAUACUAAAGGUGAAAGCUUUUUAUCUACUAUUGAUUGACGCUGAGAAACGAAGGUGAGAACAGGAAAUAGGAUUUGAUACCCAGAUACCUCUCACUGUCAACGAUGAAUGGUGGUUGUUAGUUUUAAUAAAAACUGGUAACGAUGUUAACACGAUAACCAUUCCGCCUUGCGAGUACGGUUGCAAAA
rnacentral:rRNA from 1 species